AGUUUCAGGUUAAGAACGGACCUCCAGAAUGAAUUAAGUUCUUAACCCGAGAUACCACUGUAGUUAUAAACCUGCCUUCAUUUUGCUACUAUAGCUGAUGUUUCAAGACCUAGAUUAUGUCAACUCUGAGUAAAACUUAGUUGGAUACAACCCAAUGUCCUCUUAGCUGCCUUCAGAAACACCCUACUGUGGAUGCCUCCUAUAUAGCAGAUCAACGACCAGAGACUCUGUCAGGUCAACGUUUAUGGGCGGAAAUCAGUUGAUGAUGAGCCUUUAAGGCUGGCUGGAGCUGCACCCCACUAUCAAACCUUUCGCAACAACUGCUGUGCAGAGCACAAGAAUAAUCUCGUUGGGUCAAAGGAGGUCUCUUUGCGACAUCAGGAAGAAGAGAAGACUGGGCAGGCACUUACCUCGAAAUCCAG